ACCUAGAAAGUAAUCCCUGCUGCCCUUUCGCUGGCCCAGGAAGGGGUAAAUCACAGAUCAGUGUCAGAGGUGCGAUGAAAACCCAGGAGUUCUGAUUCCUGGGUCACCAUGCUCCCUUUGCCAAGGGUGGAGCCGACACCAACAGACUCUUAGCUCCUGUGCCCUGUGCAUCCUGGUGUUCGUGCACGUGCUGCACGGAUCAUUUGCUCUGGAGAAAGCCAGCAGGCAUGAGAGGCCCAUGUGGUGAGGAACUGAAGCCUCCUGCCCACAGCCACAUGUGUGAACUUAGAAAUUAGAAGAUCUUCUAGCCCAGUCAAUGGCUGUACAAUGGCUACAACCCUGGCUAAUACCUUGACUUCAACCUCACGAAACACUGAGCUAGAACCACCCAACUAAGCUGUUCCUAGAUUCCUCACCAUCAGGAACUGUGUGCUGUAAAAAUGCUUGUUAUUAUAAGCCACUAAAUUUUGAAGUGUUGUGUGACACAACAAUCUGUAAAUAAUUCAGAAUAGUAAAAUAUGAAUGGGAACACAAAUGUACAGACAUGGUAUAAGGAAUAAUUGGAUGGUCACAGUGGGUCAUUUCUGCCCUCUCAUAUCUCAGAGCGAUUACACCCUUUAACCUCUACUUCUCCCCUCUUCCUGAAAAUUCUGCUCAGGGCUUAGGCUUCUAGGAAGCUUAUCAAAGCUAGCCUCUUUGCUUUUCAUUGGUGUUAUUUGUGGGUGUUUAUCCCAUUAAGGCUGUGGGGGCCCAGCCCAUAUGGCAGCUUUAAACCUGAUGCCUUUUUAGGCCCUCAGCUGUCUGAACAGGAAAGACCCUGGGGCCCAGAAGAUCU
rnacentral:lncRNA from 1 species